GUGAUCUUCCUGCAUUUUGCAUCAUCGCAUGUGACUGCGUCUUCGAUGAAGAUGAAUGGCAUUCAAGGAGCGAUGUUUAUAUAGAAAAAGCUUCAUCUGUGCUUGAUCUGAUUAAGUUGAUGGAAUUCUGAACUCUGUCUAUUCAGCCUAAUUAAUGUUUGUUAAGCCCUUGGGUUAAACAAAGUUAACUAAAACCAAGAAUCAACAUGCUAAAAUAGAGAAUGAAAGAUGGAAUGCCACUUCCAAUUUUACAAAAGAAACUGAAUGUAACAAAUUAAUUUCCACGAAAUGGGAAAAUUCCUACAGACAAGUGUCCUGCUGAUGCUGACUUAGGAGAAAUAAAACAUUUGGAUACAUCUAGAAGAGUAAGGAGAUUAGAUUUUUAAUUCUUAAAAUUCUCACCUCACAAAGCUCAAGUCCAGAUAGCUUCACUGAUGUUCUACCAAAUAUUGGAAGAAUUAACAAAAUGCUCCACAAAUUCUUCCAAAAAUUACAAUGGUACAGAACUCUUCCAAAUUCAUCUUGUGUCAGUAUAACCCUGAUGCCAAACCCAAAGACUACACAGGGAAAGAAAACCACAAACCAAUAAUGCUUGUAAGUAUAGAUGCAAACCCUGCAACCUAGUGCAAGCAAGUCAAAUCCAGCAACACAUAAACGGGAUAGUCAUUUGAGAUUUAUCAUAAGAAUGUAACAUUAUUUUAACAUUUGAAAACCAAUGUAUUACACUGAUUUAGUAGGAGAUAAAAAACUAAAACCAUAAUAAUUCUAUUUGACACCAAAAAAUCAUUUGAGAAAACCCUUUCGUGACCAAACCUCUCAGCUAGGAAUACAAAGGAAUAUCCUCAUUUGAAAAAGUGCUUCAAUAUGCAAAACAAUGAUGCAAUUCAGCCGGUCACACCAGUUCAGCACAACUGAUACCUGAUUUUGGUUGAGUUCUGCAAAGCGCUUGUUCAAAUGGCACUUGUACUCGGUGUUCUUUCUAAGGCGGGCAGCUAGGCAGCUGCCCAAUGUGGAAAUCACAAAUUUACAUUCCUUGCUCUUUUUUCACGUGCAUCUGUGCAACAGUGUAUUCUAAGCACCCGUAAUAAUGUUCAUUCCAUCCAGAGGUUUAAAAAAUUAGAUGGGUCUCUGCUUGUAAUAUCGAUUUACUCAUUUAAUAAAACUCGUUAUACUUUUGACGAAAUAGUACAUUUGUAUUCCCUUGUGUUUGUUACUUCAGUAAACAAACAUAAAAUGUCAAGAAUAAAAAUACCAGCCAGUCGUUGA